UAACGUGUAUAUUUGCCUUUUGUAAGGGCUCAACCCCAAUAGGAUGCUGGGAAAAGGCAAGUUUGGAGAUGAAAGUGGUUCUCAGUCAUCUUUAGUGAUGGACCUGCACCAGAGAGUUUUGACAGGAGAACACAAACCGCGAGUUGUGAAUAGAAAACAGAAGAGAACUGGACAGUCUGAGCAGAGUCUCUCCAAAAGCAUAAAUUUGCAGAGAGUAUUUGGCAUCUCUUUGGAAGGACUGAUGCUAAAGCUGAAACUCCAGUACUUUGGCCACCUCAUGCGAAGAGUUGACUCAUUGGAAGACUCUGAUGCUGGGAGGGAUUGGGGGCAGGAGGAGAAGGGGAUGACAGAGGAUGAGCUGGCUGGAUGGCAUCACUGACUCGAUGGACGUGAGUCUGGGUGAACUCCGGGAGUUGGUGAUGGACAGGGAGGCCUGGCAUGCUGUGAUUCAUGGGGUCGCAGAGAGUCAGACAUGACUGAGCGACUGAACUGAACUGAUUUGGCAUCUCUUGAGGAAUGUUGAUCUUUUCAAUGAGUAUUCCUGGUUAGUGAAACCAUCUCUGCUACAAUGGCCACAGACUGAAGAGGCAACCGCAGGAGCCACUGAAAGCAAUCAGAUACGGUGACAGGAAGGCAGACCAUGCAGUGGAUGUGGCAGCUUUCCAUGCUACUCUCUCAUUGCCUCGGAACCUUGAUUUAUGUUCCCAGCACUGAAGGACGUUAUCAUAUGACUCCUUUGCAUCCUGCCUCUUUUGUGGCAGGAGUCAUUUCUGAGUAUGUCCAAAUAAGUGUUAUACUGUACAAUGCUUUCUAAUAGUAGACACUUACCACUGAAUCAGUAAAAUAUCUUGAGAAAUUAUCAUCUAUCAUUUCUCUUUGUUUUAUAUUCUUCCUAUUCUAUGUACAAGCAUGUAUCACAGCUGGUUCUGUGAAUAUUAUCUCAAGGGUGGGGUGCGUGUUGUGCAUACUUGUAUAAGAGAGAAUUCUCAUAGGGAAUAGAAAUAGUCUACAAGAUUCUUUGCAGUUGUAUUUAGUUAAGAUGAGGUCAUAUUGAAUUCAAGUUCCUAAUCCAAAAACUG
ensembl:lncRNA